UGGGGAAUUUUGGACAAUGGGCGAAAGCCUGAUCCAGCAAUGCCGCGUGCAGGAUGAAGGCCUUCGGGUUGUAAACUGCUUUUGUACGGAACGAAAAAGCUUCUCCUAAUACGAGAGGCCCAUGACGGUACCGUAAGAAUAAGCACCGGCUAACUACGUGCCAGCAGCCGCGGUAAUACGUAGGGUGCGAGCGUUAAUCGGAAUUACUGGGCGUAACGCGUGCGCAGGCGGUUAUGUAAGACAGAUGUGAAAUCCCCGGGCUCAACCUGGGAACUGCAUUUGUGACUGCAUGGCUAGAGUACGGUAGAGGGGGAUGGAAUUCCGCGUGUAGCAGUGAAAUGCGUAGAUAUGCGGAGGAACACCGAUGGCGAAGGCAAUCCCCUGGACCUGUACUGACGCUCAUGCACGAAAGCGUGGGGAGCAAACAGGAUUAGAUACCCUGGGUAGUCCACGCCCUAAACGACUGUCAACGUGGUUGUUGGGAAUUAGUUUCUCAGUAACGAAGCUAACGCGUGAAGUUUGACCGCCUGGGGAGUACGGCCGCAAGGUUGAAACUUAAAUGAAUUGACGGGGUCAUAGCUGUUUCCU
rnacentral:rRNA from 1 species